AGCAUUUGGGUGUGUUCUUUUGUUUAACUUGUGACCAAAGAUGUAUAGACAGGUACAAAACUAAAUCCUCUUUCACAAGCUAGACUCAUUGUUAAUAUGAGUUUUGAUACAUAUAAGGAGGAAUACU
rnacentral:snoRNA from 1 species